rnacentral:lncRNA from 1 species
CGGCCGCCGCUUUGCAAAGGACAGGCUCACCGCUGCGCUCUCGCCCUUCUCUGGGACACGUCGCAUAGGCCACCCCUAUCAAAACCGGACCCCCCCGAAGCGCAAGAAGCCGCGCACCUCCUUUUCCCGCUCACAGGUGCUGGAGCUGGAGCGCCGCUUCUUGCGCCAGAAGUACCUGGCCUCGGCAGAGAGGGCGGCGCUGGCCAAGGCCCUGCGCAUGACGGACGCACAGGUCAAGACCUGGUUCCAGAACCGACGCACGAAGUGGCGGUGAGGUGCGGGGCGCGGGCGGGCGGAGUGGCGGGGAAGGGCUGGGUUGCCCGCUGACCCCGGCUCUCCGCCCGCCCAGGCGCCAG